UAACGAAGCGUGCUUGGAAUCCGA
rnacentral:piRNA from 1 species